rnacentral:rRNA from 1 species
GAUGAACGCUAGCGGCGUGCCUUAUGCAUGCAAGUCGAACGAGGUGCUUAAGUAGCAAUACGAGAGUAUCCUAGUGGCGAACGGGUGAGUAACGCGUUGGUGACCUACCCCGAAGUGUGGGAUAACAGUCCGAAAGGACUGCUAAUACCGCAUGUGGUCGUCGGAAUCAGAAACCGAUGUCUAAAGGAGCAAUCCGCUUUGGGAGGGACCUGCGUCCCAUCAGCUAGUUGGUAGGGUAACGGCCUACCAAGGCGACGACGGGUAGGGGACCUGAGAGGGUGACCCCCCACAAUGGAACUGAAACACGGUCCAUACACCUACGGGUGGCUG